UCGAGUAUUUCCUUUUGUUCUUGGUUACUUUUUAACAGUGAAAUGUGGUAUAUUCUAUCAUCAGUUACAGCAGAACUGGCAUCUACCAUCAACCCAUAAGGAAACUACACCUUUUAAUGUUGUACGCAGGGGGAGUCAAAGGUACAAAGGCUGCUAAUCGUUUUGAGGUUGGACUUGAAGUCUACUGUCUCCUUCAUCUUGCUCCCCAGCAGAGCUCCAAGCAUGGCCUCAGCUGAGAUUU